rnacentral:rRNA from 1 species
GACAGAGGGUGCAAACGUUGUUCGGAAUUACUGGGCGUAAAGCGCGUGUAGGCGGCAGGGCAAGUCGGAUGUGAAAGCCCACGGCUCAACCGUGGAAGUGCAUCCGAAACUGCAUGGCUCGAGUCUCGGAGAGGAAGGUGGAAUGCUUGGUGUAGAGGUGAAAUGCGUAGAGAUCAGGAAGAACAUCGGUGGCGAAGGCGCUCUGCUGGACCAUAACUGACACUCAGGGACGAAAGCUAGGGGAGCGAAUGGG